AGCUGUGAGAGGCGGCAGAGCUGCACUGCGAGCUAGCUACCUUUUCCGUUAAAAGCAGACAGUAGCCCUGCCGCCGAGGAGUAAGAUGUCAGAAGGAAUCUCUGAGAGUGGUUCAUCAGCCAAGGCCUCAUCAUCACAUUCUACACUGUCCUGGUCUCUGUUGCUAUUUCUGAUUCCUGUUCUGCCUACUGCACAGACAUCUAGCUGUGUGAGGCCAUUCUCUAUCCAGCAUGGUCGGGUGAACGUGACUGAGACGAACAGGGGCUCAUUCCCUGUGGGCACUGUGCUGCAAUACAGCUGUGAUUCAGGCUACACUGUGGAUGGUCUCAGCCUUGUUGUCUGCACCAGAGAGGGUCUCUGGUCUUCAGGCAUACCACGUUGCCUUCAUAACAGCCACUGUCCCCCUCCCUAUGAGCCAGAGAAUGGUGGUUACACAUGCCACCCAUCUCCAUGUCAGCGUCUGACUCAUGGCACAGUGGUGAAGUAUUUCUGUGAUGAGGGCUACACGCUGAAGGGAAAUUACAAAUAUCUCACCUGCCAGAAGGGUAACUGGAACGGACCUAUGCAGGUCAGCUGUGUGCUCACUCAAGGUUGUGUAAGGCCUUUCUCAGUUCAACAUGGCAGAGUAAACAUGACUGAGACAAACAGAAGCUCGUUCCCUUUGGGAACUGUGCUGCAGUACAGCUGCGAUUCAGACUACAGUUUGGAUGGCCCCAACAUCAUUGUCUGCACCAGAGAGGGUCUCUGGUCUUCAGGUCCACCACGCUGCCUUUACAAUAGUUUGUGCAGUCUCCCAUUUCAGCCAGAGAAUGGGGGUUACACCUGCCACCCAUCUUCAUGCCAUCAUCUGACUCAUGGUACAGUGGUGGAGUAUUUUUGUGAAGAAGGCUACACUCUUAAGGGAGACUACAAAUAUCUCACCUGUCAGAAUGGGGACUGGACCGGCCCCAUGCAGAUCAGCUGUGUGCUUAGUCAAGAAAACCAUGCAGCUCCUGUGCUGGGGAUGGAUACCUUGUCCAUCGUGGCAACCACAGCCAGCACUGUAGCUGUUGUCCUUCUCCUUGUGGUGGUGUUUGUCUUACUGCAACCAAAACUGAAGUCUUUACAUAAUGCACGGCGUGAGCAGGAAGGCACUGCGCAACCUGUGACCAUCAUGGUAGAGGGUGUGCAGGUGACCUUGCCAUCCUAUGAGGAAGCUGUGUCCGGAGCUGGACGUACGGUCAUGCCUGGACCCCUACCCCACGCACAGCUGGAGUCUUUGGAGCAUUCUUUAGCCCAGACUUCAUCCUCACAGGAUGGGGAGAUUGCAGUGGUACAUCAACCACAAUCUUCUUCUUCCUACUCCUCCUCCUCCUCCUGGAGCUUGGAGGGCCCACAGGGAGCUACUGCAGCGUCCUCAGCAUUCCAGAAUCAAGACUCCAGUCAACAAAACAGUUUACCGUCUCCACAUGACUCAGAGCAGGAUGUGGCUGAUGACAUUCCUUUAUUAAAGGAGUCCUGAGAGUUCCGGAUUAACCCCUCUUUUGUUUGGGUACCAUAGACUGCAGCUGUAAAGGCAUGAAGGCUGUGAUUUGACAUUGAGUUGCACCUCUGCAACACAGCCCAUCUCAGGGUCGUAGUGGGUCUGGUUUGCCAGGAAUCGCAAGAAAUAAUGCAGUAAUACACUCCAGGCAGGACAGCAAUCUAUCCCAGGGCCUCAGGCACCCCCCACCUCAGACAUAGCCAAUCAUGUUUUUAUGUGAAGCCUGAGCAGUUGAUGGCACCACUUGGAUUUGAACCCUGGAUCCCAGCAGUAGUGGGCUACCGUUGUUUACCUUAUUCAUGAAACAUAGAAAAGCAAAAAAGCAUCCUAUUGUUUUUCAUGGCACAGCAGGAAUUUAUGAAUUUGAAUUUUUAAAUGUGGUCGAAUUUGUUCUGACUGCCAUAGUAUACACAAAGCCACACACCAUAACAAGGGCUAUUUCUACCCCUUCUAUUGAUCUGUCACUGCCAGACAUUUCUAAAAAGAAUCUCAUUCUGGUAUUCUGAAUCACCUAUUGGGUUUAUAUGAAAAUGUUUGCAUACAUUAUCCAAAAUGAAUAUGACAAAUGAAUUGUUACUGAUUGGUAUAAAAGUUGCAGGUUGUUUCUGGUUGAGAGUAUUUAGCAACAUAAAGCGCGGGUCUGCUCUGAUGACAUAAAGAACGAAUCUUGGGUUACUGAAUAGCACACUGACAACAACCUGAUGUUUCUUUGUCAUGGGUUUAUUAGCUUUACAUGCAGUGAGGCUGUGUUUGCAUAGGAACUCUAGAAUGAUAAAUCUUCCAGCUUGAGCAUGUGCACUUGUUCUUUUCGUGACCUGUCAAUUUUUAUGUUAUUGUUUAUUGUGCACUGAGAAUUAUAUGUAGUGAUCUUUUUAAAAAAAGACUUAUGAAGUGCUAUUGAUUAGCAUUGCAAAAUGUGCAAGUAAGUUUUAAGUACACGUGAAUGAAAUGAAGCAAGGACGUUUCUAAUCUGCUAGCUUCAUUAAAAACGCUUUUACCUUUUAAGAAGCAAACUUGAUCACUUUAAUGUACUUUGUUUUAUUUCAUACCAAAAGUCAUAAACUGUAUGACGCAUUUUGUAAUAUUUAAUUUAUCUUUGCAUUGUAAAUAACUAAAGAUUAAAUAUUCAUUCCGCU